rnacentral:rRNA from 1 species
AGUGAACGCUGGCGGUAGGCCUAACACAUGCAAGUCGAACGGCAGCACAGUAAGAGCUUGCUCUUACGGGUGGCGAGUGGCGGACGGGUGAGGAAUACAUCGGAAUCUACUUUUUCGUGGGGGAUAACGUAGGGAAACUUACGCUAAUACCGCAUACGACCUACGGGUGAAAGCAGGGGAUCUUCGGACCUUGCGCGAUUGAAUGAGCCGAUGUCGGAUUAGCUAGUUGGCGGGGUAAAGGCCCACCAAGGCGACGAUCCGUAGCUGGUCUGAGAGGAUGAUCAGCCACCCUGGAACUGAGACACGGUCCAGACUCCUACGCGAGGCAGCAGUGGGGAAUAUUAGACAAUGGGCGCAAGCCUGAUCCAGCCAUACCGCGUGGGUGAAGAAGGCCUUCGGGUUGUAAAGCCCUUUUGUUGGGAAAGAAAAGCAGCAGGUUAAUACCCCGCUGUUCUGACGGUACCCAAAGAAUAAGCACCGGCUAACUUCGUG